GGGGCUUCGGCUCUCGCCUUUAGAUUGGCCCAAGUGGGAUUAGCUAGUUGGUGAGGUAAUGGCUCACCAAGGCAACGAUCCCUAGCUGGUUUGAGAGGAUGAUCAGCCACACUGGGACUGAGACACGGCCCACACUCCUACGGGAGGCAGCAGUGGGGAAUAUUGCACAAUGGGCGCAAGCCUGAUGCAGCCAUGCCGCGUGUGUGAAGAAGGCCUUCGGGUUGUAAAGCACUUUCAGUCAGGAAGAAAGGUUAGUAGUUAAUACCUGCUAGCUGUGACGUUACUGACAGAAGAAGCACCGGCUAACUCCGUGCCAGCACCCGCGGUAAUACGGAGGGUGCGAGCGUUAAUCGGAAUUACUGGGCGUAAAGCGUACGCAGGCGGUUUGUUAAGCGAGAUGUGAAAGCCCCGGGCUCAACCUGGGAACUGCAUUUCGAACUGGCAAACUAGAGUGUGAUAGAGGGUGGUAGAAUUUCAUGUGUAGCGGUGAAAUGCGUAGAGAUCUGAAGGAAUACCGAUGGCGAAGGCCGCCACCUGUGUCAACACUGACGCUCAUGUACGAAAGCGUGGAGAGCAAACAAGAUUAUAUACCCUGGUAGUCCACGCCGUAACGAUGUCUACUAGAAGCUC
rnacentral:rRNA from 1 species